rnacentral:lncRNA from 1 species
GGACGGGUGACAUUAAGGGGGGGUGGGCGACCCCAGGGGGGGCUGGGUGACCCCCGGGGGUGACGUUUUUUUUGGGGGGGGGGCGCAGGCGCCUGUGCGAGCAGCAGUACGGGAACGCGCCGCGGGUGCGCAUCAACGGGCACGUGGCCGCCCGCUUCCCCUUCAUCCCCCUGCCCCUCGACUACAUCCUGCCCGAGCUGCUCAAGAACGCCAUGAGGAUCUCGGACCGGGGCGGGGGCAUCCCCCACGAGCUGCUGGACAAGGUGACCCAGUACCACUUCAGCACGGCCGAGGCCAGCGCCCAGGACCCCCGCCUGGGGGGCCCCUUCCGCAACCUCCUGGACCUCAGCCACGGCCCCCAGGCCUGCCCCAUGCACGGUUUUGGCUUCGGGUUGCCCACCUCCCGCGCCUACGCCGAGUACCUGGGGGGCUCGCUCUGCCUGCAGUCGCUGCAGGGGGUGGGCACCGACGUCUACCUGCGCCUCCGACACAUCGACGGCAAGGGGGAGAGCUUCCGAAUUUAGGGGGGGGGCCCAAAAUCUGCCUCGGGGACUCCAAAUUCUCCUUGGGGACUCCAAAAUCCUACUCGGCGGCCUCAAAAUCCUACUCGGGGACUCCAAAUUCCUCCUCGAGGAGCCCAGAUUCUCCUUGGUGGCCUCAAAAUCCUACUCGGGGACCUCAAAAUCCUCCUUGGGGACUCCAAAAUCCUCCUCGGGGACUCCCAAUUCCUCUUCAACGGCACCAAAAUCCUCCUUGGGGACUUCAAAAUCCUCCUCGGCGGCCUCAAAUCUUUCUGGGGGGCCCAAAUGCUCCUCGGGGACCUCAAAUUCUCCUUGGGGACUCCAAAAUCCUACUCGGUGGCCUCAAAAUCCAACUCGGGGACUGCAAAUCCUGCUCGGGGACACCAAAUCCUACUCAUCGGCCUCAAAUCCUCCUUGGGGACCCCAAAUGCUCCUUGGGGACUCCAAAUUCUACUCAACGGCCUCAAAAUCCUCCUCGGGGACUCCAAGUCCUCCUCGGUGGCCUCAAAUUCCUCCUCGGCCUUGCCUCGAUAGCGGUGUCACCUCCCUGGUGGCCUCCCUGGUGGCCUCCCUGGUGGCCUCACCUCCCCGGUGGCCUCCCCCCUUGGGCCUCCUAAAUGGUGUCACCUCCUUGGUGGCCUCCUCCUGAUGUCACCUCCCUGGUGGCCUCCCCAUCGAUGUCACCUCCUUGGUGGCCUCCCUGAUGGCCUCACCUCCUUGGUGGCCUCCCCAUCAAUGUCACCUUGUUGGUGGCCUCAACCCUUGGCCUCCUUGGUGGCCUCCUCAGCAAUGUCACCUUGUUGGUGGCCUUCCCAACAGUGUCACCUCCCUGGUGGCCUCCCUGAUGGCCUCCCCAUCAAUGUCACCUCCCCAGUGGCCUCAACCCUUGGUGGCCUCAACCCUUGGGCCUCCCCAUCAAUGUCACCUCCUUGGUGACCUCCCUGAUGGCCUCAACCCUUGGCCUCCUCACUGACGUCACCUCCCUGGUGGCCUUGGUGGCCUCCCCUUGGGCCUCCCCAUCAAUGUCACCUCCCUGGUGGCCUCCCCAUCAAUGUCACCUCCUUGGUGGCCUCAACCCUUGGCCUCCUCACUGAUGUCACCUCCCUGGUGGCCUCAACCCUUGGUGGCCUCCUGGUGGUGUCACCCCCCUGGUGACCUCCUUGGUGGCCUCCUCAUUAAUGUCACCUCCCUGGUGGCCUCAACCCUUGGGCCUCCACUGUGAUGUCACCUCCCUGGUGGCCUCCCCAUCAAUGUCACCUCCCUGGUGGCCUCAACCCUUGGUGGCCUCCACCGUGGUAUCACCUCCUUGGUGGCCUCCUGGUGGUGUCACCCCCUUGGUGGCCUCCCUGGUGGCCUCCCCAUCAAUGUCACCCCCUUGGUGGCCUCAACCCUUGGUGGCCUCCUCGG